rnacentral:rRNA from 1 species
GGCGAACGCUGGCGGCGUGCUUAACACAUGCAAGUCGAACGGAAAGGCCCUGCUUUUGUGGGGUGCUCGAGUGGCGAACGGGUGAGUAACACGUGAGUAACCUGCCCUUGACUUUGGGAUAACUUCAGGAAACUGGGGCUAAUACCGGAUAGGAGCUCCUGCUGCAUGGUGGGGGUUGGAAAGUUUCGGCGGUUGGGGAUGGACUCGCGGCUUAUCAGCUUGUUGGUGGGGUAGUGGCUUACCAAGGCUUUGACGGGUAGCCGGCCUGAGAGGGUGACCGGCCACAUUGGGACUGAGAUACGGCCCAGACUCCUACGGGAGGCAGCAGUGGGGAAUAUUGCACAAUGGGCGGACGCCUGAUGCAGCAACGCCGCGUGCGGGAUGACGGGCUUCGGGUUGUAAACCGCUUUCGCCUGUGACGAAGCGUGAGUGACGGUAAUGGGUAAAGAAGCACCGGCUAACUACGUG